UACCCGCAGCACAAGUGGUGGUCAUUAUUAUUGGGCCUAAAGCGUCCGUAGCUGGCGUGUUAGAUGCCUGGGUAAAUCGAUGUGCUCAACGCAUCGAAUUCCGGGUAGACCGGCACGCUCGAGACCGGGAGAGGUAUGGGGUACUCGGGGGGUAGGGGUAAAAUCCUGUAAUCCUCCGGGGACGACCAGUGGCGAAGGCGCCAUACUAGAACGGCUCUGACAGUGAGGGACGAAGCCCUGGGGCGCAAACCGG
rnacentral:rRNA from 1 species